rnacentral:rRNA from 1 species
UACAGAGGUCUCAAGCGUUGUUCGGAAUCACUGGGCGUAAAGGGUGCGUAGGUGGCGUGGUAAGUCAGAUGUGAAAGCCCGGGGCUCAACCUCGGAAUUGCAUCCGAUACUGCCGUGCUAGAGUACUGAAGAGGUGACUAGAAUUCUCGGUGUAGCAGUGAAAUGCGUAGAUAUCGAGAGGAAUACCAACGGCGAAGGCAGGUCACUGGGCAGUUACUGACACUGAGGCACGAAGGCCAGGGGAGCAAAC